rnacentral:rRNA from 1 species
AGAGUUUGAUCCUGGCUCAGAGCGAACGCUGNNNGCAUGCUUAACACAUGCAAGUCGCACGGCGCAAUGGCAGUGGCGGACGGGUGAGUAACGCGUAGGAAUCUAUCUCUGGGUGGGGGACAACCGUGNNAAUACGGCUAAUACCGCAUGAUACCUGAGGGUCAAAGGCGCGAGUCGCCUGGAGAGGAGCCUGCGUCUGAUUAGCUAGUUGGUGGGGUAAAGGCCUACCAAGGCGACGAUCAGUAGCUGGUCUGAGAGGAUGAUCAGCCACAUUGGGACUGAGACACGGCCCAAACUCCUACGGGAGGCAGCAGUGGGGAAUAUUGGACAAUGGGGGCAACCCUGAUCCAGCAAUCCGCGUGUGUGAAGAAGGUCUUCGGAUUGUAAAGCACUUUUGGCAGGGACGAUGAUGACGGUACCUGCAGAAUAAGCCCCGGCUAACUUCGUGCCAGCAGCCGCGGUAAUACGAAGGGGGCUAGCGUUGCUCGGAAUGACUGGGCGUAAAGGGCGCGUAGGCGGCUGUCACAGUCAGAAGUGAAAUUCCUGGGCUCAACCUGGGGACUGCUUUUGAUCGUGGCGGCUUGAGUGGGGAAGAGGGUUGUGGAAUUUCCAGUGUAGAGGUGAAAUUCGUAGAUAUUGGAAAGAACACCGGUGGCGAAGGCGACAACCUGGUCCUUGACUGACGCUGAGGCGCGAAAGCGUGGGGAGCAAACAGGAUUAGAUACCCCCGUAGUCC